rnacentral:ribozyme from 1 species
CAGGGGCUUGUUUCUGCACCACCUGACGAUGGAAGUCCGUAGAGUGUUCGCCAAAGAAAUCCGAGCCGGAACCCUGCCCCCUCUG